rnacentral:rRNA from 1 species
AACGAACGCUGGCGGCAUGCCUAACACAUGCCAGUCGAACGAUGCCUUCGGGCAUAGUGGCGCACGGGUGCGUAACGCGUGGGAAUCUGCCUUUCGGUUCGGAAUAACUCAGGGAAACUUGAGCUAAUACCGGAUAACGUCGCAAGACCAAAGAUUUAUCACCGAAAGAUGAGCCCGCGUAGGAUUAGCUAGUUGGUGAGGUAAAGGCUCACCAAGGCGACGAUCCUUAGCUGGUCUGAGAGGAUGAUCAGCCACACUGGGACUGAGACACGGCCCAGACUCCUACGGGAGGCAGCAGUGGGGAAUAUUGGACAAUGGGCGAAAGCCUGAUCCAGCAAUGCCGCGUGAGUGAUGUAGGCCUUAGGGUUGUAAAGCUCUUUUACCCGGGAAGAUAAUGACGGUACCGGGAGAAUAAGCCCCGGCUAACUCCGUG